UGGGUACCAAAUUUGGAUCAUAUAAAAGCCAUUUUCAGACAUAUUUUACUCAUUUUCUCACUUUCUGUCUCUCUCUCUAAACUUUCUCCUCCAAUUCUCUCUUGCUUCUCUCUAACAUCUCUCCUCCCCUCCUUUUUCACCUUCUUCUCCUCUGUGCCGCCACUGUUACGUCGCUGGCGGCGGCGGCGCCGCCGCCUCCGCACCUCUCUCCCUUUUUUCUCUUGUUUUUUCUUCUUUUCUUCUCUUCUUCUCUUCUUUUCUUCUCUUCUUCUUUCUCCCUUCUUCACCCCCUUUCUGCCCCGAUUUCGACGCCACAGCAACGGCGGCGGCGCCUUUCCCUCAACCGCGACAAAAAGAUAAACAGAGACGUAGAUCUACUUCCCUUACUUUUAUUUUUUCGAUUUUAGCCGGAUUUGAGCUUGCAUGUUGUCGGAGGAUGCCUUUAGCGAGUCUUCCAAUGACAUGCAAACUUCGAUCUACAAUUUUAAGGUUUGAAUUUUAUUUUUAUUACCCUUUUCUGAGUUGCUGUUUUGUUUUUGUUUUUUUAUUCAUAUACGGGGCUGAAAAUCUGUAGUGAGUAAAGGGGAGACAGUGGCCUGACCCACCAGAGGAAAUCGCUAAAAAGUGUGAAUAAGAGAGCAGACAAUCUUUAGGAAGGUAAAACACCUAAAACUCUAGUUGUUCUGAUUUUGUUGGUAGAUAGUAGAUUUUGUCUUUGGUUGAUUAGGUUGCAUAGAAUAUGAAAACUUAACUAUCUUGCUUAUUAAGACUAAACUGACAAUCUAAGUGUUGUGAAAAUGAUUUUUCGCUUGAAAAAUUGAUUAUUUUGUCAUGUUUGUUAAAAUUUCAGCAAUCCCACUUAACAAAAAGCACUUAUUUUAGCUCAAUUUUUAUGAGUAACCUUGUAGUUCUUGAGUUCUCGGUGUAAACUGUACAAAAAUGAUAAUAGGAGGUUGAUUAAUCGAUUGUUAAUCUGUUUUUCCAGCAAGCUUUCAUUUGGUGAAAACAAUCUUUGUUUUUUUUGUUUUGAUAUUAUUACUGUUUAAGUGAGUUCUUUGAAUCGUUUAGCUUUGAUGAUCAUUAGAUUAGAAAAGGAGUUUAGGACAUCAUAAUAAUGAAAACAAAGAUAUGAGUAUUAUAUAAAAAUUUGAAAAUCGGGAAGAUGUUUCGUUUAGAAGGACCAACCUUCGAAAGCUCACUUUGUUUUUCUUUUGCAGUGUGGAUGAGUCCUUGGCCGCAUGCUCCAGGGACUAAGGAACUCGGAAGCUUCGUGUCCUCGAAGUUUCGGCCAGAAGCACUUUGUAACUUUUUUGUUUAUUUUUAUUUCUUUUCUUUUGUAGUGGAAUUGGGUUGUAAUGAAUUUGGAGUGUAAUGGGUUUAGGGUGUAGUGGGAUUAGGGGAUUUUGGGGGAGUUCUCGUUGUAAUCGGUAGUCCUUCUUCGUUCUCUCCCUCCCCUUCGAAAGAAAUUUGAUGGUCCUUUUCAGUGAACAAAAGGGCUACCACCUCCCUUAUCUUCUAAUCUAAAUUGAACACCAAUCACUGAGGUGGCAGCCUCUCAGAGAAUAACAGAAAUCGGGUCUGAUAUCGGGCCUAAAAUUGGGUCUGAAAUCGGGCCCAAAAAAUCUACGUAAUAUAGAGCUACGAAAUAAAUAAAUAAACUCGAGGACCCGGACAAAACUUGGUUACUACAGCACCCUAAGAGAUUGAUGGAGAAGCUAGUGAAGUGGUUGUGAGCUCCAAUCCAUGCCUAAAAGUGACAUUCUUUUCUUAACCACCAAUGAUUAAGGAGGGAAGAUGUAGUAUGGUGUAUCGACAGUUGUAUCCUCAACUAUCUCUGAUCCAAUAGUGUAUCUAGAGAAGUCCUUUAGGGCAGGCAGGUCUG
rnacentral:lncRNA from 1 species